AAGGUUAGCUAAUCCUGGUCGGACAUCAGGAGGUUAGUGCAAUGGCAUAAGCUAGCUUGACUGCGAGCGUGACGGCGCGAGCAGGUGCGAAAGCAGGUCAUAGUGAUCCGGUGGUUCUGAAUGGAAGGGCCAUCGCUCAACGGAUAAAAGGUACUCCGGGGAUAACAGGCUGAUACCGCCCAAGAGUUCAUAUCGACGGCGGUGUUUGGCACCUCGAUGUCGGCUCAUCACAUCCUGGGGCUGAAGUAGGUCCCAAGGGUAUGGCUGUUCGCCAUUUAAAGUGGUACGCGAGCUGGGUUUAGAACGUCGUGAGACAGUUCGGUCCCUAUCUGCCGUGGGCGCUGGAGAAUUGAGGGGGGCUGCUCCUAGUACGAGAGGACCGGAGUGGACGCAUCACUGGUGUUCGGGUUGUCAUGCCAAUGGCACUGCCCGGUAGCUAAAUGCGGAAGAGAUAAGUGCUGAAAGCAUCUAAGCACGAAACUUGCCCCGAGAUGAGUUCUCCCUGAGACUAUAAGUCUCCUGAAGGAACGUUGAAGACGACGACGUUGAUAGGCCGGGUGUGUAAGCGCAGCGAUGCGUUGAGCUAACCGGUACUAAUGAACCGUGAGGCUUAACCUUACAACGCCGAAG
rnacentral:rRNA from 1 species